AACGAACGCUGGCGGCAUGCCUAACACAUGCAAGUCGAACGAGACCUUCGGGUCUAGUGGCGCACGGGUGCGUAACGCGUGGGAACCUGCCCUUAGGUUCGGAAUAACUCCCCGAAAGGGGUGCUAAUACCGGAUAAUGUCUUCGGACCAAAGAUUUAUCGCCUUUGGUUGGGCCCGCGUUGGAUUAGCUAGUUGGUAGGGUAAAAGCCUACCAAGGCGACGAUCCAUAGCUGGUCUGAGAGGAUGAUCAGCCACACUGGGACUGAGACACGGCCCAGAAUCCUACGGGAGGCAGCAGUGGGGAAUAUUGGAAAAUGGGCGAAAGCCUGAUCCAGCAAUGACGGGUGAGUGAUGAAGGCAUUAGGGUUGUAAAGCUCUUUUACCCGGGAUGAUAAUGACAGUACCGGGAGAAUAAGCUCCGGCUAACUACGUG
rnacentral:rRNA from 1 species